rnacentral:rRNA from 1 species
AUAAGGACAAACCUACUUUACAAUGCCCGAUCUUGCCUGAUUUGGAAAACUAAGCGGACGUCAGGUCUGGUUAAUACGUGGAUGGGAGACCACUGGGAAAACCCGGUUAUA